GCGCGCGGGUGCUCCAAGGAGUCGGAGGAACGCGGCCGCGCGACGGGCCCCGGACGCCGAGGGUGGUGCUUCCUCCGAGCCUCCGGUGGUGAGGCCGCUCUCAGAAGGUCAUGGAAGCGCAGGGGAGAGCGAGGCGGCCGAGCCCAGGCAAAUCCUCGAGAAAGGCCGAGUGCGCGACGGCUCUGCGGGGAGGACCGCGCCUCCCCGAAUGCGGCCGCUGCUGCCGCUGCAAACAGUGCCUUGAGGAGAGGAAAGCGGGGAACCGUGUUUUCGCCGCCUCUGUAACCACUGCACACAAGAAAACCAGCUUCUGGGAGAGGGGGAUGAUUGUUGGGACUUUGCGAAUUACCUAAACAGCCCAGGGCCGAGGCGCCGCCGCUCGCGUCCUGGUCCUCCUGCCGGGUGUGGGGCUCCCCUGCCCGAGAUGGCCAGCGGGCGCGCCGAGAGUAUCCUGGAGCCAUCUAGUCUUGCCUCGGAGGCGGGGUGGGCUUAUUUGUGCGGAGAAGAAACGGAUCUCUUAAUGGGGUGAGAUUUUUCCUCCGUACAUUGUUCCCAUUUCCGCAGUUUCACUUGGCCUCGGUUUUCUAGCAGAGUAAUCACCAAAUGAAAUUAGCUGGAGAGCGUUUGAUGGCGCAGAAUCACGGUCUGAAGAUGUUUACGCUGUAUGCCGGACGCGUUUGAUGGUGUUCUCUUCGGCACAAUUAAUUUUGCAAAGUUCAGAAAUGUGCCAGACAGAGCCCCUGGCACGCAGUCAGGACUCUACAGACACACCUUGAGUAGGAAACAGGCUUGUUUGUUUCAUCUGUGAUUUAUGUGAUGCACCAGCACCAAGGCCAACGUGUUUUUUAAAGACCUUUCGAUGAAACUCCAAAGCAAUUUAUAAAUUGGCAAAAUGAAGCUUGUUUUGUAAAAUAACUCUUCCUUGUUGAUCAUGUAAUUAAAUGGGCAACAAAACACCUGAAAGGACAUUUACUGAAAAGUAGACUCCCAAAACAAAAAUAUGUAUUUCACAGCUAGAUACGGUCGCUAUUAGCGUCCUAAUGGCCAACUCCAUCCAUGUGCGUAUUUUGAACACUAAAAACGCCUCCUGUUACCCCUAAGACCUUGUUUGGAUAACAUUUUUCUAUUAUAAGUACUCGAAACCAACCCCAUUUAAGAUGUUUACCCUUAUUCUUGAGUCCUUGAUGGUUUGGGAAAUUUAUCAUUAUUCAUAUUGCACAAUCCUGUCACUGUCUUUUCCAUUAGGCACAGUGCCUAAGGUCCACAAUAUUUUUAGAGGCCCACAAAAAAUAUUUUAAUUUCUUUUCAAAUCAGAAGGAAAAAAAAUUUAGGUUUAAGAAAGUAUUUUAAUAUAUAUUAAUAUAUUUGUUUUUGUGCUAAUACAAUCUUAAAAUGUAUGUAUAUAUGUGUGUGUGUAUAUGUAUAUAUAUUUUAAUGGAGUAAGGGGCUCAACGAAGGCAAAAAGGCCUAGAGCCCAAGAAAAACAUGAUGUGGCCCUGUUGCCUGGGGUUGAAAAAUCCCAUUCCAUGAGAAGAAUUUAGUUUUAAGAAUAUUACAUAAAAUGCUCAUUUCUGUGGCCUUGCUAUAAUAGAAAGAUGGAGAUUCAGAGUAGUGAUAAUGGCUAACAUCCACCUGAUACACACCAUGUGUCCAUUACCUCUUAAUCCUCACAGCACACCUGUGAAAUAGGUACUAUUCUCACACUUAGGGGGUAAUGCAGGUUUUGUGGGGCCUGCAAUUUAUGCAAUUUGGGUGGUCCUCUUAAAGAAAAAGCAAAUACUGUGUAUUAGUCCGUUCUCACACUGCUAUAAAGAACUGCGCGAGACUGGGUAAUUUAUAAAGGAAAGAGGUUUAAUUGACUCACAGUUCCACAUGGCUGGGGAGACCUCAGGAAACUUAACAAUCGUGGUGGAAGGAGAAGCAAGUACCUUCUUCACAAGGAAGCGGAAAGAAUUGUGAGCGGAGGAACUUGCCAAACACAAAACCGUCAGAUCGCGUGAGAAUUCAGUUACUAUCACGAGAACAACACGGGAAAACUGUCCCCAUAAUCAAGUCAUUUCUCUCCCUAACAAGUGAGGAUUACAAUUCAAGAUGAGGUUUGGGUAGGAACACAAAGCCUGACCCUAUCCCACAGCAUGUCCAGGCUGCCCUAGCACCACCCAAUAGAAGGGAAAAUGGCAGAGGGAAAGUCCUAGUGGAAAGAGACCUCAGUCUCAGCUAAUUGUGGUGACAAUAUAUUGCUUUUGCAAAUUGUACAUAAACAUAUGACCAGGUGAAUGUAUCGCCAAGGCUCCUGCCAAGGCCUGGGAUGGAGGCCUAGAGAAGAUGCCCGAAAGUUUAUGCUGUGUGAGCUUCACAGAAGACCUGCCUUCCAUGUAUACCCAUUUUACAGGUGUCUGUGCGGUGCAGAAACUGUACAACUGUAUACAGUGACCAUUUCUACUCUGGGUCUCUAAACAAGGGCUGGUAUCGUUACAGAGACUGAAGACUGAGGAAGACCAUCUCUGUAGGAUGCCAAGGAUUGACUGGAGAAAGUCUGGAAUUUUCCACAAAUGAGUUCAUUUAUAAAGAGAAAGGCAAGCUUUGAUGACAACACCUUCACAAAAUGGAGGCCUUUGAAAACAUUGGUCUGGAUUGAGGAGUUGGAGAAGAAUGAAGUGCACAUCAACCAAACAGAAGAGAAGCAAUUUGGAGGAGGAAAAAAUCAGUUCUUCAUGAAAGGAUCACAUUGAUCUUGGUUCAUCCCAGUGCCUCCUCUGCAGACAAUCUUGUCCUCAGUCUUUCAAUUGUUUUCUUCCCAUGCCCUGACAAGCGAACCAGAUCAGGAAUUUAGGAGCAGCUUACCUAAUGGCACCUGGUUACCUAAUGGCACCCUCAACAGCUUACCUAAUGGCACCCUCACUUGGUUCUGGCUCCGGGCCUCUCACAAGAUUGUACACAUGAUGAUGGCCAAGUUUGCAGUCAUCUGAAGUCUUGACUGGAGCUGGAGACUACAUUUCCAAGAUGGCUCACUCAUAUUGCUAAAGCAAUUACAGCUCACUGCAGCCUUGACCUCCCAGGCUCAAGCAAGCCUCCUGCCUCAGCCUCCCAAGUAGUUGGGACUACAGAUCUUUUUCAAUGCAGAAGCUUAAAGAAGACACUAAAAAAUGUGUUUAAGAUCUCUUUAAACUGAAGUCUUCUGAACAAGUGAAGCAGGUACAUGCCUGGGAAGACAGCCAGGGAACAGGCAGCUACAUCAACCAAGAAGGCUGACAACAUGUUCCAUCCCACAACUAUGUGGUAAUUGCAAAGAUGAGAAAAUAGCAGAGAUCCUCCAGUCAGCCCUGGAAUGAGUUUAGGGGAGAGAAAUCAUGCAAUCUCUUAGUAACAUGGCAUCUGUAAAUUCAAAAAAAAAAAAAAAA
rnacentral:lncRNA from 1 species